AGCAAUUAUAAAAGCAGAUAAUUGUAUUUGAAAUGAUAUGUGCAGUGGUACAUGAAGUAAAACUGAAUCCAGUUGUUAAAAUCUGCAGAAAUGCUUUUCCUAUAAAAAGAGCAACUUCGUUGCAGCUCAACAACCAAUCAUCACUUUAUUUACAUUAAUUGUCGUCAUGAUCUUGUUUUUCCUUUUAUGCUAUUAGUUUUGUUAGAUAAAUAUCAAAACUGAUAUACUUCCUCCAUCAAUAUUAUUGUUAGAUAAAUAUCAAAACUGAUAUACUUCCUGCAUCAAUAUUAUAUGAUACUAUUUCCAUCGAAACACUCCAGAAUGUUUGGUGUCAUUCCUUUUCUAAACAUCUUUCAAAAGUUGAAAUGCAUUACAUUAAUAAAUAAUUUAAACUUUGAUGUAACAUUUAUCUAUCAAAUUAACUUGUUAACCACUAUUUUUUAAUUUUUUUUCCCACUAUCAGUAAUAUUUACAUAUUAGUCAUAAAGUUUCAAAAACAAAAUUCA
rnacentral:lncRNA from 1 species